GCCCGGAUAGCUCAGUCGGUAGAGCAGGGGAUUGAAAAUCCCCGUGUCGGUGGUUCGAUUCCGMSUCCGGGCACCA
rnacentral:tRNA from 1 species